GGAAAGGUUGCCAUAGGUAGGGCGAGACGUUUGCUAAACGUUAUACGUUAGUAUCUAAGAGUUCGAAUCUCUUUUUUUCCG
rnacentral:tRNA from 2 species